rnacentral:rRNA from 1 species
GUGAGGUAAUGGCUCACCAAGGCAUCGACGGGUAGCUGGUCUGAGAGGACGAUCAGCCACACUGGGACUGAGACACGGCCCAGACUCCUACGGGAGGCAGCAGUGGGGAAUCUUGCGCAAUGGGCGAAAGCCUGACGCAGCAACGCCUCGUGAGGGAAGACGGCUCCCGGGUUGUAAACCUCUUUCAGCAGGGACGAAAUUGACGGUACCUGCAGAAGAAGCGCCGGCCAACUACGUGCCAGCAGCCGCGGUAACGCGUAGGGCGCAAGCGUUGUCCGGAUUUAUUGGGCGUAAAGAGCUCGUAGGCGGUUUCGUAAGUCGGGUGUGAAAACUCAGGGCUCAACUCUGAGACGCCACCCGAUACUGCGAUGACUUGAGUCCGGUAGAGGAGUAGGGAAUUCCUGGUGUAGCGGUGAAAUGCGCAGAUAUCAGGAGGAACACCAGUAGCGAAGGCGCUACUCUGGGCCGGUACUGACGCUGAGGAGCGAAAGCAUGGGGAGCGAACAGGAUUAGAUACCCUGGUAGUCCAUGCCGUAAACGUUGGGCACUAGGUGUGGGUCUCAUCCAACGAGAUCCGUGCCGUAGCUAACGCAUUAAGUG